AAUAAUGUAUAAUAUUCAUUGUAUGCUUAAUUGUCUUACACAUACACAAAAGCAGAUCUUCAAUCAGAUGUUUUAAAAAUCGAUAUACUGGCUAAAAGAAAAGAUGUGUAUUAUUUAAUAUAUCUUAAUUUAUUUCAUUAUUUGAGCAAUAUAUACUUUUACUCGUAUAUUAAAAUUGUUUUGUUUUUUUACACCAGUACAAUGUGUGUUUUACAUUGGAGGUGUGGACUAUCAACACACGCCCACUUUUUUCACACAUCAUUUUACAAGACACUAAGCCCUCGUCCCUAAGAGUAAAAUCACAGUAUUUCGGAAAACCAACGUAGUUGAAAAGACUUCGGCUUUCAAUUUUUUUGGGGGAAAAAAAUAAACUGUUCCGGAAAUAAAAAUGGCAGGAACCUCUAAUGGUAAGUUUAUAUAUAAGAAAUAUUCAAAAUACUGUUGUUUAAAGCAAUCGUUUUUUUUAAUAUUAUACAUGAUUAUUAAAUCAGACAUCGCUUAAAAGGCGAACUGCCCCUCUCUCUGCAGACACCAGGACUUCAGGCGAUAUGGGCUGAGAUUUUAGCGCUGAAUACUGACGAGUUUAAAAAUCUUGCUGAAAAUCGUAGCUCACAAGAGUGUAUUAACGAGUCGUCUGCACCUCGGACAGUUCAUGAAGACGCACCAUCAGGUAUUUCUUUAGCAAA